rnacentral:lncRNA from 1 species
UUUUUUUUUUUUUAAAUGUAGCUGUAGUAAGCUUGGUGGUGGCACACUUGUAAUCCACACACUUGCUUUGAGAUCAAGGCCAUUCUUCUGGACUACAUAGUGAGUUCAAAGACUGCCUGAAAUCUGUUUGAAAAAAAAAAAAAAAAGAAUGAGAUGGCUCAGUGGGUUAAAGGCACAUGCUGGCAAGCUUAACAGUAUAAAUUUGAUCCCAAGGACCUAUAUAGUGAAGGAAGAGAGCUGACUCUCUAAGAAUAACCUGUGAUCUCCACACAUGGGCCCUGCUGCCCAAACAAUAUUAAAAAAUCACAAGUAAGACAGUGGUGGAGCAUGCCUUUAAUCCCAGUACUUGGGAGGCAGGGGAGGCAGAGUUUUGUGAGUUCCAGGCCAGAUCUAUCCUUUAGAGCAAGUUCCAGGACAGCCAAGGCUGCACAAAGAAACCCUGUCUUUUGGGGGGGGGGAAUUACAGAUUGAAAUAAAGAAAAAAAAAGAAAAAUAGCUGUUUAUAGUAAACCACCUUUUCUCUAGAAUUGGAGCCCCAGAGAGUGAGUCUGAGAUGCACCUCUCUGGAUCACCCCCAUCGUCGCUCUGCCUGCACCUGUCUCAGAGAGGACCUACGAUGAGUAAACCAACAAGCCUAAAUCCAGGGAAAAGAGCUCUUGCAAGUUAAUCAGCAUGGUUGAACCUCUCUUUCCCAUUCUCCAGUGUGGCAAUUAUAGCUAUUCCGUGGGGUUGACUUUAUAUAGAGUGAUUAUUGGGAUGACUUCAGACACACGAGUAAGUAAUGUGCCUUCUCUAGAGACUUUACUACUUGGUAAAAUGGGGAUAUUAAGCUGGGAUUAAAGGCAUGCACCACCACUGCCCAGCUCUUGCCUGCUUUUUGAAGGGAGGAGGAUACUAUUUUUUACUUUGCAAUGUGGGAAUGCUGAUGGAGAUUAGAGGACAACUUGUGGGAGGUAGUUCUCUCUUUCCAUUCUGCUGUUUCCAAGGACUGAACUCGGUUAUAGGCCUGGGUAGCAAGUACCAUUAGCCACUGAGCUAUCUCAUCCACCCAGAGGUCUCACUGAACAAGUCACCUCACCCAUAGGGGACUCAGU